GUUCGGGGCAUUGCCUUGACUGGGGGCGUCAGUCUCUUUAGACUCAUGCACCCCUAAAUUUGGCAGGGCGUUGUGCUCUGCCAUUUUGCUUUUGUUGUAAUAAAUAGCGUCGAAAGACAACAGUGGAGCUAGUAGA
rnacentral:sRNA from 1 species